GAAUUUCAUUUUAUCCUGUUGCUAUUCUUCAUUAAUCACAUUUGCAUUCAUAUAGAUUUGAAAAUGACAAUAUCAAGCAUAGAAAACAUUUUUAUUAUACACGAAGUUUAUAUAAGUUUAGGAGGGCGUUUCAAACUGGUAGCCCUUAAUUCGUAUGGCUCCGUACCCGUGAAGUAGCUCUCAGUUUCAAAAAGGUUGGUGACCCCUGGUCUGGAGCCUGCAGGAGCUGAUCAAGUGUCCUGUUAUGAAUAUUAAAUAGAGAGCCACCCUUGUUGACAUCCCACAAUAACUCUGACCGAUCGAUCCGCUGAUAUUGCCAUCCUCACCCCCCUCGCUCCUGGUCGCUAGGAACUCAAUCAAACACCCACGCCAAGAGUCCUCCCGCGAACAACGAUAUCAACGAGACCUCAUUAAGCAGCUUGUUUCAAACGUUUUCAUCCAGAGCUUGCAUAUUCGUUUAUGGGGUAUACACCGAUGUCCAUGGAGUGUUAUCCUGGGAGCAAAAGCACCCCCAUGAGAGAAACAUUUCCCUGAGUGAGAACAAGACGCACGUCAUCACCAUGACAGACGGCUUCUACCUGGUGUUUGUGCAGGUGACCUACAAAAUCAACUGCAGCCAGGCCACAGAGUAUACUGACCUCAUGCUGACCGUCAACCAUUUUUACGAAGAGGGCGAGCAGUACUACUCGGCGGUCUUCAAGACGCACUGUGGGACUUGUGGGGGCUGUCAGCAGAAAGGUGACCCGGAGAGCGUAGACGUGGUCCUCAGUCAGCCCACCUUGCUCUGGAUGAAGCAAAAUGACAAACUGACAGUCACAGUCAGCCACAGAGAGUUUGUGGAGUUUAUUUAUUACCCAACCUCGACGUUCCUCAUGGUCGUUAAGUACUCAGAUUAGCCAAUCCUGUGCCAGAAAAGGGGAUGGGAAUGAAAUUUCUGUUUGAAGUUUCACUGUAAUGUUUUGCGUCUUAUCCGAAGAAAUCCAGUUUUUUUGCAAAUAGAACACGACCAAACAUUAACACACAACAUAACAAACACCCCCCAGAAUGCCUGACCCCCCUUGCCCGCCACCCCACGCACCCAUAGGGUACCAACAAACUGCCAGCAUGCAACAUAGCGGAGAUGGUCUUGGCAAUUAAUUGUAAUUUUGACUGACACAGCUUGGGAGGGGGGAACCCCCCAAGCUCCACCCAUGAGGCUGUGGUGACAGGCGCCCAGGAAA